UUCGGUUAUGUGCCACGAUGCUUCAAAUCCAUUUUCAUGAAUUUACGAUAUCGCCUCGGCCCUCCCGGCGGACCCGAAGCCUAAACGUCCAUUUCUUUAAUAACUUUGUAACGGCUCGUCGGAUUGCCGAACCGUCUUCGCCAACGCGUUCGUUUACCUAGCAAUUUGGUUUACGGAGGGUCAAAUGAGAUCAAACCCAUACAUUUUACAAAACCCCAUUCGGAGCCCUAACAUGCAAUUAACCUCUAAAUAAUCCAAAUUAAAUAGAGCAAACAUGUUUAGAAUGCUCAUUAGAGGCUAUUAGAACACUUAAAACUAAGGAUUAAGCCAAAUCCCAAAAGCUUACCUCAAUGUGAACGCCGCGACGAAAAUACGCCGCUCCAACGGGCGCACGAAAGCUCGAUCCGUCGCCUCCAACGCGUUCGCAAGCAUCUUCUCCACCAACCCUCCAAUUUUUAGAGAGAGAUUUAGAGAGAUGAGAGAGAUCUCUAGAGAGAGAAGGGAGGGUUUCCCUCCCCCUCCAUGCGCGUGUGUGUGUGUGGGGUGUGUGCGGCUGAAGGAGAAGAAGAGGAGUCAACACUCCUCUUUAGUCAACCCCACGACACUAUUCACUCCCGGGCAGCUUGAAAUCUGAUAACUUUCGCCGGAGCUCCCUGAAUGUCCGUUUGAGCUCAAACUUGACAGUCAUGUUCGGUUUUACUUAACUUAACAAGCUGACGAUCGCUGGUUCAGUUUCGACCCCGUUUGGUCACUGAAAACUGUACCGAACUGUAAUCUUUAUCAGAUAGCUGUCGGAUUUUAUUUCUCACUCUACGGGUGUCAGAAAAAUAUGAAACUUUAAAUCUAGCCUCAUAAAAAUAUUUCUGACUUAUCCUCCAAUUUUCAUAAUUUUCUGAGACUGUGCAUUUUCUGCUAAUUUAUCUGUCCCGUUUCCAACAGAAAAUUCUAGAUCUUCUGUUUUCAUUCCGAUUUCAGCACAAGUCACUUCUGACUUAUGUUUUACUUCUACAAAUCCAAUAAAAAUAGUUUCUCACACUAUUUUUAUUUAUUUUUAUUUUUAUACCAAAAUCUGGUAUGUUACAUUCUCCACCCCUUAAAAGAAUUUCGUCCGCGAAAUUCAAACCACGCCUCAAUUCAGCUCCGCGAGCAAUUGAGGGUACCAACUCAUUCUCCCACUCCAGAGCGGCUUCACACUAUCGUGGUUCCAGAAGCGGCUCAUACUGAAGGACGUGGGUUUAAUCCUAAACUCAUUUGCAAAGUGUGAUACAAACGUGCAUCACGGGUCUUGCAAGUCAUAGUGGCAGCGCAAGUCGGUACUCGACGACUCUACGCGCUCCAACACCACUCGCCACUCGGUACACAAAGAACUCUUCUUUGCACUGGCCUUCCCUUUUGGGAAUACAUUCCAAUUCGAUCACCGACAUUGCUUAGAAGCAAUAUCACCGGUGCAUCGCUCCGUCGUGAGUGCUCUAAUUUCGCACUGACCCUUAACUUUAACGCGAGAUGGCCCACUUCGGCACAUCUCAAGUCUCAGUUCGCUUACGAGCAUAGUCUCCAACAUCACGUGGCUUUCCACUAGAUUGAUGUCUCACAAGGAGUACUUCAUCAUCUGAUACCACAUGCCACGAUCAACAUCAAACUAUUUUCGCAACGAGCUCACGCGAGCACUCCGUUCGUGAAUUCGAGUCAAACUCCUCGAUAAGGCUAUCUGCCAAAUCGCUCUCUUCGGUCUCCACAGGUGGACCAAAGGCCACCAAUCCUACGUAGGCCUACCGCCUAAACCUGUCUCAAUACGCAGCGUCUCUCGCUCGCAAAUGCAGACCCAAUCAUGAUCGGGCGAAAUUCUCACUUGGGAAUUCGCACACACUCCAACCAGGAGCAACUAAGACCCCAAACCACGUCAAGUCCUCGGGUUGGGUCACAACCAUACUCGGUGUACCAUCGGUCACACAAUCUAUCACGUGGCAUUCCACGCUCCCGGGCCUAAACUCGGACUACCGUCCUGACCAGAACUCUGCCCUACCCGUAGGUACCGGGCCGCUGUCACUCACAGCUGACUGCGCCUGCCCAAUGGGCCCAGGCUCCACAGUCCACAAAUGGUCCAGGCACGGGUCGUCCCCAAGCACUACCCGCCGUCGUCGUCCUACACGACAUACUCUACCGAGUCACACGUACCAAUAUCGGUUCCUAUGCACCUAGUGCGAGUCACCAGUCCCACGAGUGAUCCAUGGCACGCUUCGCACCUAGCAAUGCUCAAGUGCUACUGCCAUUACACUCUCUCGGCUGAAUUCACAUCCGCACUUUACGGGUAUCUACACUCGAGCGCUCUACGCCUCUACAGCGUUCCACAGUAAGUCCAGCAUUAGGCAAUCUUGCCUAUGCACACCGAUCGCACGAGCACAAUCGCCUACCUCACCUUGAGGUACUACUAGGCCCACGUGCUCAAACUUGGCCACUAAUCGACCGUUCUCUCAACAGUGAUGCUACUUUCACUGUUCGAUCUACCGGAAUGACAUCCAAAAUUUUCGGACUACUCGGGUGCCCAUAGGCAUUAUGGCUCGACUCUCGCAAUUUACUACUCAUAUUGCUCUGAGAGUCAUUUCGACACUUCUAUCUCUACCGCGAGUCUCAUUUCUCGCCAUAGAUUACUUCUAGCACUUCGCUAGUGCCAUCUGGCUUUAUACCUGUACUGGCAGGUACUACGCCCUCACAUAAUACAAAACGCCAUUUCUAGAGCAAUCAAGUCUAUCUCUAGAAAUUCACCAUGAGAGAGAGCUUAGAAGCUUACCUCUCCAAGAAGCUCCAACCAAGGAGAAGAUGAAGAAGAUGAGGAAGUCCUCUUUCUUCUUCUUUUUCUUCCCUUUUCUUUCUUCUUCCUCAUCUUGUCUACUAGAGAGAGAAAGAGAGAUAUGAGAGGGUGUGUGGGUGAGAAAUAAGAGAAAAGAGCUCUCAUACCCCUCACAUAGCCCCACAUGUUGCAUAAGUACAACCAAGCCCCUCAACUUUUACUCUUUUACACUGCCUUGACUGGGCCAUUUUCGUGUUCGGGGACCGGUCUCCCCGACGAGGGACCGGUCUCCGAGAGCUUCUCCCCGCAGUCAGCAGAGCUCACGCCCGAUGCAUCCGGUCUCUCUUUGGGGGACCGGUCUCUCAGGGACCGGUCUCUCCAGCAGGGACCGGUCUCCGAGAGCUGUCCACCAAGGACUUAGCCGAUUUUUCUCUCCUCUUGCUGCCUGCGCGUUCGGGGACCGGUCUCUCC
rnacentral:lncRNA from 1 species